rnacentral:rRNA from 1 species
UACGUAGGGUGCAAGCGUUGUCCGGAAUUAUUGGGCGUAAAGAGCUCGUAGGCGGUUUGUUGCGUCGGCCGUGAAAACCUGCAGCUUAACUGUGGGCCUGCGGCCGAUACGGGCAGACUUGAGUUCGGUAGGGGAGACUGGAAUUCCUGGUGUAGCGGUGAAAUGCGCAGAUAUCAGGAGGAACACCGGUGGCGAAGGCGGUUCUCUGGGCCUGUACUGACGCUGAGGAGCGAAAGCCAGGGGGAGCAAACGGG